AAAGGUAUGUAGUUUGCUUACCAAGUUCUAAGGCCUUACUGAUUUCCAUCAACUUGUUCUAUCCAUUAUUGAGAGACGAGUGUUAUAGUCAGCAACUAUAAUUAGCCGUCUGUUCUCAGGCCAAGCUCGCUUCCUACUCUGCCAUAAGGUGAGCCACCUCUACCUGCCUGGAGAUCGACCUGCGGUCAUCCAGUUCCACCAGUGCCUGGCUGGAGCUAUAAGUUGGUGCUGUUUGCCAGGGUUGGUGUCUACAGAGGGCCAGGGGAAUUCCAAGCGAGGGAAGCAAGGAGAACUUCUUGGACUCCUCAAGUUCUACCAGAAGGCAGUGCUAUGGUGUGCCCAACCCUCCCAGGGGCCUAAAUGGCCACCCUCUUGGGAAUGCCCAAAGCAUCUGCUAUUUAGGACUUGGUUACAGAGCGCCAUCAGCUUCCCCAAGGGCUACCCUCCACCCAGCCACUGUCUAAAGAGCUUCAUUUAAAGGUUUGUUUUAUUUGCCACCAAACUGCCUGCCUACAACAUGUGGCACUCAGGACAUCCAGGUGUGUGCCGCAGGGCAUCAGGGAGAUAAAUUAUGCUUAUGUGCCUGGGACAACAGCCUCAACUGGUAAAUCAAGUCUGUUCUUUUUACCCUGAUGAUUUCCUUUUUAAAAUUCAUCUUGGAGGAAGUUGUGUGACAUUUAUUUUCCACCCUGGGCUCCUAGAUCACUCAGCUUUGAAUAACACCUGGCUACCUUGAGGACUGUGAGCCCUGCUGACCAUGGAAGUGGGAAAGGGAAAUAUUUCUGGUGAUGGCUCACCAGUUACAAUUGGCAAAGCAACCUUGAGAGGAUUAAAGUGACCCUUAGAGGAUGCGUGAGAGGUUAUGAUCAUCCCCAAAUAGGUGUGGCACCUGCUAUGAACAAGCUGUCAUGUUAAGUGCCCUGGGAAUAAAACACAGGUGCAAAAGUCUCUGCCCUCGAGGACCAUACGAAAAGACUGGCUGGAGAAAUAAUGAUGUAUAUGAGAGCAAUAGCCCUAACCAAGGUAACAUAUGAUAAAUACACAGGAGAUAUAUAGAAGAAAGCUCACUUCUGACAAGGCAGAUGUGGGAAAAAGAGGUUUGAGCUUCCCCCAGUCUCUCUUGACUCACUGUGUGAAUGAAUCAAUCUGUAAAUGGCCCUUGAGGGAUCUCUGGAUAAGAUUUCAACAGGUACAGAGGAGAAAUUAGGGCAUAUGGUUAGAAGGGAGAAAGAUAGGGUGGGGAGGGAAAAACCCAAGAUGUGACGAAUAGAAAACACGUUUUAUUUGGAGAGAGGAAGAGCUUGAGCACACACGUAGACAAGACUAUGGCGGAGGGCUCAUUUAGGGAGCUAGUGGAUGGAAAGCCUGGAAGGUAGAUUAAAUGACCCAUCUCAAGGGUCAUGGGGAGCCAUUGGCAUUUUGUUAGAUUAGUAAGAGUGACACCCAAUUUGUUCUUUGGGAAUAUUAUUGUGGUAGAGCAUGGGUUGGUGGAGGAAGAAAUUAGAGAAAGGAAACCAGUUGGGCAGCUAUUGCAAUAGCCAGGCAAAGACUAAUGAAGGCCUGAUGAGGGCUGUGGUGAUGAGAAUGGGAGAGAGGCAAAGGAUGAAAGAGGUAUUUUGGAAAUACAGUGGCCAUAGCCCGGCAGCUAGUUGGAUAUAGAGGGCCAGAGAGAGAACUGGAAGAUGAACUUAAUGUGAUAGAGAGGGGAGGUGCCACCAACCAAGGCUGAGUUGCUGGUUUUGAGGGAAUGUUUGGGAGUGUCCUUCAUGUAUGUAUGGGUUUAAGCAAAAUGAAACCUGUUUUUAUGGAACCAUUCUUCCCUGGCUAUGCCUGGAGGAAUAGGGGUGCUGAUCCAACUAUUGACAUCAGGUGGAAUUAGGAUUUCAGGGAACAAACACAUUUUAGGAACUGCUAGGGUGGAGGCUCUGGGGUCUGUCUCAGGACUAACAUUCUCUGCUAUUUUCAGAGACUCAUACAGCUGCAAUUUUCUUAUAAUAAGAGACUCAGAGACCUUAGGAAGGAAGGCUUGGAAGAGUGCUUAACACACCACUCAGCAUCACUAUUAAGACUUGAGAAAUGAGCACUUGCACCACUUUCACUCCUGUGCUUGCCAACUCCCUGCCCAGGGCCCUCUGAUUUUGCAGAUUCUUUUCCUGGAGCCAUUCAUUAAAGCCACAGUCAAGAAUUUACCAGUCCUAUGGCCCUUGCCCCAGGGCCCUGAUCUCUGUUAGAUGGCGGCUAGCUAAGCAGUUCGGUCAUGACUUCUCUGUUCAACAAAUAGUCAUUGAAUGCCAACCAAGGCCAGGCCCUGUUCUAGGCACUCUUUACUGCUGAGAUUCUUGCAGCAAACCAAACAGACAGAAUCCCUGCCCUCAUAGACCAGCAUUCUAGGAGUGGAAGCAAACCACCAAUAAAAUAAAUAAGCAAAAAUAUGUUCGACAGUGGUAAGUGUUGUGGAGUAAAAUAAAACAAGGAAGAGGCUAGGAAUUGCUGGGUGAGGAAGCUGCUUAAAUAAGGUGGUUAGGACAGCUUCACUAAGAAAAUGACAUUUGAAGAAAGAUUUGAAAAAGAGGAGGGGGUGAGCCAUGUCUUUACCAGGGAAGAGUGUUCCAGUUGGAGGGAACAGCAAAUGCAAAAACCCUGAGUUGGGGUGCAUGCCUGGAGCAUUUGAACAGUUGCAAAGAUGCCAGCAGGGAUGGAGCAGAAGGAAGGAGAGAAAGUAGAGCAGGAGACCCGGAAAGUAAUGCAAGGCUUCGUUCAAAUGGACAUCCCAUCUUGGUAACCACAUCCUAUCUAGGAUCUUCUGAAGAUGGUGCCUGAAUCCUAUACAGUGGCCCUAAUGGAUGGAAUUUGGAAAGUGAUGUAUUUGACCAUCCUUUACUUUUGGGUAGGGCUUGCUCUGCAAAGAGUCAAGUGAAUGUCCAAGCACAGGAAGAAAGAAAGGUUUCUGGACAGAAAACAUCAAAGCUCUUGUUCCAUUUGGUAGAGCUGACACCGUGAUGGCGCCUCCCCGCCUGUGCUAUUGUGGCUGGCAGGAGGCCUGGGUCUUCCUAGCAGCCUCCUCAAAGCUGAUUCAUAUCAGUAUUACUCAACGUGUAUAGAUUCU